rnacentral:rRNA from 1 species
UACGUAGGCAGCGAGCGUUGUUCGGAAUUACUGGGCGUAAAGAGUGUGUAGGCGGUUCUCUAAGUCUGUUGUGAAAUCUCCCGGCUCAACUGGGAGGGUGCGGCGGAAACUGGAGUGCUAGAGUGUGGGAGAGGUAAGCGGAAUUCCUGGUGUAGCGGGGAAAUGCGUAGAUAUCAGGAGGAACAACUGCGGUGUAGGCAGCUUACUGGACCGCGACUGACGCUGAGACGCGAAAGCGUGGGUAGCAAACAGG